GAUGAACGCUGGCGGCGUGCUUAACACAUGCAAGUCGAACGGAAAGGCUCCUGCUUGCAGGGGUACUCGAGUGGCGAACGGGUGAAUAACACGUGGGUGAUCUGCCCUGCACUUCGGGAUAAGCCUGGGAAACUGGGUCUAAUACCGGAUAGGACGAUGGUUUGGAUGCCAUUGUGGAAAGUUUUUCGGUGUGGGAUGAGCUCGCGGCCUAUCAGCUUGUUGGUGGGGUAAUGGCCUACCAAGGCGUCGACGGGUAGCCGGCCUGAGAGGGUGUACGGCCACAUUGGGACUGAGAUACGGCCCAGACUCCUACGGGGGGCAGCAGUGGGGAAUAUUGCACAAUGGGCGCAAGCCUGAUGCAGCGACGCCGCGUGGGGGAUGACGGCCUUCGGGUUGUAAACUCCUUUCGCUAGGGACGAAGCGCAAGUGACGGUACCUGGAGAAGAAGCACCGGCUAACUACGUG
rnacentral:rRNA from 1 species